rnacentral:rRNA from 1 species
ACAACAGUUGGAAACGACUGCUAAUACCGCAUAAGCCCACGACCCGGCAUCGGGUAGAGGGAAAAGGAGCAAUCCGCUUUGAGAUGGCCUCGCGUCCGAUUAGCUGGUUGGUGAGGUAACGGCCCACCAAGGCAACGAUCGGUAGCCGGACUGAGAGGUUGAACGGCCACAUUGGGACUGAGACACGGCCCAGACUCCUACGGGAGGCAGCAGUGGGGAAUAUUGCACAAUGGGGGAAACCCUGAUGCAGCGACGCCGCGUGGAGGAAGAAGGUCUUCGGAUUGUAAACUCCUGUUGUUGAGGAAGAUAAUGACGGUACUCAACAAGGAAGUGACGGCUAACUACGUGCCAGCAGCCGCGGUAAAACGUAGGUCACGAGCGUUGUCCGGAAUUACUGGGUGUAAAGGGAGCGCAGGCGGGAAGACAAGUUGGAAGUGAAAUCCAUGGGCUCAACCCAUGAACUGCUUUCAAAACUGUUUUUCUUGAGUAGUGCAGAGGUAGGCGGAAUUCCCGGUGUAGCGGUGGAAUGCGUAGAUAUCGGGAGGAACACCAGUGGCGAAGGCGGCCUACUGGGCACCAACUGACGCUGAGGCUCGAAAGUGUGGGUAGCAAACAGGAUUAGAUACCCUGGUAGUCCACACCGU